GAUGAACGCUGGCGGCGUGCCUAAUACAUGCAAGUCGAGCGAACGGACGAGAAGCUUGCUUUUCUGAUGUUAGCGGCGGACGGGUGAGUAACACGUGGAUAACCUACCUAUAAGACUGGGAUAACUUCGGGAAACCGGAGCUAAUACCGGAUAAUAUUUUGAACCGCAUGGUUCAAAAGUGAAAGACGGUCUUGCUGUCACUUAUCGAUGGAUCCGCGCUGCAUUAGCUAGUUGGUAAGGUAACGGCUUACCAAGGCAACGAUGCAUAGCCGACCUGAGAGGGUGAUCGGCCACACUGGAGCUGAGACACGGUCCAGACUCCUAAGGGAGGCAGCAGUAGGGAAUCGUCCGCAAUGGGCGAAAGCCUGACGGAGCAACGCCGCGUGAGUGAUGAAGGUCUUCGGAUCGUAAAACUCUGUUAUUAGGGAAGAACAUAUGUGUAAGUAACUGUGCACAUCUUGACGGUACCUAAUCAGAAAGCCACGGCUAACUACGUG
rnacentral:rRNA from 1 species